GACAGAGGUGCCAAGCGUUAGGCGGAAUCACUGGGCUUAAAGCGUGUGUAGGCGGAAUUGUAAGUACCUUGUGAAAUCCCACGGCUCAACCGUGGAACUGCUUGGUAUACUGCUUUUCUUGAGCCACUUAGGGGCUGUCGGAACAAACGGUGGAGCGGUGAAAUGCGUAGAUAUCGUUUGGAACGCCAACGGUGAAAACAGGACAUGC
rnacentral:rRNA from 1 species